rnacentral:rRNA from 1 species
GAUGAACGCUGGCGGCGUGCCUAAUACAUGCAAGUCGAGCGAACAGAUGAGGAGCUUGCUCCUCUGACGUUAUCGGCGGACGGGUGAGUAACACGUGGAUAACCUACCUAUAAGACUGGGAUAACUUCGGGAAACCGGAGCUAAUACCGGAUAAUAUAUUGAACCGCAUGGUUCAAUAGUGAAAGACGGUUUUGCUGUCACUUAUAGAUUGAUCCGCGCCGCAUUAGCUAGUUGGUAAGGUAACGGCUUACCAAGGCGACGAUGCGUAGCCGACCUGAGAGGGUGAUCGGCCACACUGGAACUGAGACACGGUCCAGACUCCUACGGGAGGCAGCAGUAGGGAAUCUUACGCAAUGGGCGAAAGCCUGACGGAGCAACGCCGCGUGAGUGAUGAAGGUCUUCGGAUCGUAAAACUCUGUUAUUAGGGAAGAACAAAUGUGUAAGUAACUAUGCACGUCUUGACGGUACCUAAUCAGAAAGCCACGGCUAACUACGUG